UACGGAGGGUGCGAGUGUUAAUCGGAAUUACUGGGCGUAAAGAGCACGUAGGCGGUUUGGUAAGUUGCGCGUGAAAUUUCUGGGCUUAACCUGGAAACUGCGCGCAAAACUGCCUGACUAGAGUACAGUAGAGGAUAGCGGAAUUUCCUGUGUAGCGGUGGAAUGUGUAGAUACAGGAAGGAACACCAGUGGCGAAAGCGGCUAUCUGGACUGAUACUGACGCUUAGGUGCGAAAGCUUGGGUAGCAAACAGG
rnacentral:rRNA from 1 species